CAAGGUGCUGCAUGGUUGUCGUCAGCUCGUGCCGUGAGGUGUCGGGUUAAGUCCCAUAACGAGCGCAACCCCUAUCAUUAGUUGCCAUCAGGUCAAGCUGGGGACUCUAAUGAAACUGCCUACGCAAGUAGUGAGGAAGGUGGGGAUGACGUCAAAUCAGCACGGCCCUUACGUCCAGGGCUACACACGUGCUACAAUGGCCGGUACAAAGGGUUGCCAAGCCGCGAGGUGGAGCUAAUCCCAUAAAACCGAUCGUAGUCCGGAUCGCAGUCUGCAACUCGACUGCGUGAAGUCGGAAUCGCUAGUAAUCGUGAAUCAGAAUGUCACGGUGAAUACGUUCCCGGGCCUU
rnacentral:rRNA from 1 species